GACUGAGAAGCCCAAGUGAUGUGUUUUUCUUGGGAAUAGAUGCAGUGAAUGACUCCGAUAUGACUGAAUUCAAGACUAAACAGCAUGACGAAAACACCAGCGUCAAUGUUGAACCUGAGGUUAACAAUCCAGAGCGGAAAAAAAGCCCUUCACUUAGCAGUUCAGAAGAGACACUUGGCAAAAAGCUCCUGAGGAAACUAAGUGGCAAAAAGAGGAAGCCUUCCAGAGACAGCGAGAAAAGCCCUGAAGAGAACGUAAAUGUACCUCAGCUAAAGAUCUGACAUCUCCAGCAAGGUUAAAACCACGCUGAUGGGCUGCAAGACAAAUCACUCACUGAUUACAAAUCAUUCCUGACACUCGAGCCCAGCCAAUAGAAGCUGCAGUCUUAGGAGAUUGGCAGGGUUUGUAAUCAUGAAACAAAACUACAGCAGUGGCAGCAUGGCCCAAGCUAGUUUUUCUUGUUUUGUACUUUGAAUUAAGAAUUUAACUUUUGCAUGUUUUUCCAUCUAUUCGUUUUACUUAAGAG